AUCCAUUCAUUCAUUCAUCCAUUCAUUAAUUGUUUGAGUGAAGAACAUUCAUGUAAAGACAAAGUAAACAUCCAAAUCACGGAUACACGUUUCUGAUACUCGAUCGACCAACAGCCAGCAGUGCAGAUAACUGGAAGAAGUGGGGUGUGUGCUGGGGUGUCAUUGGGAUGUCUGCUGUGACGUCACACGCGCUCGCGCGCGGCGCUGCCUCGUCCUUCUGGCUCCCUGCAGGUGGAGGCAGCACGCGGACACCUGCGCGGCUCCGCGGCAGCUGACCGCCGUCCUGCGGCUCUCCUGACCCCGAUGAAGGCGCAGCGCCUCCCGGCCGCGACCAUCCCCUCUGCCUCCCUGAAGAGGAGCCUCCUGAGGAGGAGGAGGAGGAGGAGGAGGGAGGUGGCUCCGUCUCCGCAGGAGGAGGACGACUGUGAGCUGUGCAGAUGCUCCAUGUUCUCUCCGUCUGGCAGCAGCCGGACCGUCCAGCGCAUCCUGACGGCCUGCCUGCUGUCCUCCCUGGCGUUACUCGCCUCCGUCUCCUCAGACCUCAGCUCCAGCUUCAGUUUGCUGCACAGCACGGAGGCGGCUUACGACGAGCUGACCUCCUGCAGGACAAGAGCGCUUCUGCACAUCGUCACGAGGCUUCAGAAGAUGAGACAUCUGUUUGCUGAAGACGUGACCAACGAGACGCUGGAGGAAAGUCUGAAAUCGUUGGAGCGUCUCUGUGAGGGAAUGGCGGCUCAGCGGGACGGCCACGGCCUCGCCUGCAGCCCGGAGAUGACUGGAUCCUGCCAGGAGAUGAGUGGAAGGACCGAAGAGUUCCUCAAAGACUCGUUUGACAGAGACACUUCUGGGGAACAGACAAGCUCCGCCUUCACUGAGGCCAUAGAGAGACUCCUCGCCGUCUGGGAGAGCGUGGAGCUCUCUGUAGUGAAGGUCAGACAGAACUCCGACUGGAGGUUCGUUCUGUCUGCGAGGCUUCUGGUGACUUUCUCAGAGCUCAACCACCAGCUGAUGCUUUCCCGCCACACAACCACCAGCGACGGCCUUCAUCGCAGCUGGAGCCACACCCUGAACUACCUGAGCUUCACCAGAGUCCUGACAGAACCGCUCAACCACUGCUGGUUGGAACACAUGGACUUGAGCAGAAACUCGAGCUCGCACAGGUUUUCUGUCUUUGACACCAGUCUGUGGCAGGUUUCUGGACCUGAGGUUCUGUCUGGGUCUGUCCGAGGAAUCCAGGCCCUGAGGAACGCCCAGCAGUGCCUGUUGGACCGAGCAGCGUCAGAUCUCCGGUCAACGUCUCGGUCCUUAUCUUCAGUCCUCAGCAUGAGGAUCUGCCUGCUGGCCAUCGCGUGUCUCAUCUACCCCGUGGUGAUGGUCUCCUUCAAGCAGAUGACCGACUGGAUCCAGAACUACGCCCGGACUCUGAAAGAGAAGACCGAGGACUUGAAGCACCAGAGGCAGCUGGCCGAGGACCUCCUGCACCAAAUGCUGCCCAAGUCAGUGGCCAAGCAGCUCCGCAGGCAGAAACACGUGGAAGCAGAGAGUUAUGAGAGGGUGACCAUAUUCUUCUCAGACAUUGUAGGUUUCACCUCCAUCUCUGCGUCCUGCACUCCUUUGCAAGUGGUGGAGAUGCUCAACAACCUGUACAUGUGCUUUGACACCCGCAUCGAGUCGUAUGACGUAUACAAGGUGGAGACCAUCGGGGAUGCUUACAUGGUGGUGAGCGGCCUGCCUGAGAGAAACGGAGACAAACACGCAGAUGAGAUCGCCAAGAUGGCGCUGGAUCUGGUGGCUGCCGUGAGACAGGUCUCCAUCCCACACAUGCCCAAAGAGAGGCUGCAGCUCCGGGCAGGUAUCCACACAGGGCCGUGCGUGGCCGGAAUCGUCGGUUACAAGAUGCCACGAUACUGUCUGUUUGGAGACACAGUCAACACGGCCUCCAGGAUGGAGUCCACCAGCCUGCCUCAGAAGAUCCACACCAGCUCAGAGACGUACUUGGCUCUGAUCAAAGACAAUGCUUACGAGCUGCAGCUGCGUGGAGAGAUUGAGGUUAAGGUACAGAUUCUACACGUCCACCAGGACUUUGCUUCAGACUUGCAGACACUUUCAGAAUAAACUUUGAAGAAUUUGCUGAAAAUCUUCAUUUGUUAGUGAUUGUUUGGCGUUGUGUUGAGUCACUGCUGUGCUGCUUUCUGUUCUCUGCAGACCAUAUAUGUUCCAUGUCACCGUCUGCUGUCUUCAGACUGAACACUGGUCUAUCUGUGUUUCUGUGGUGAUGUUCUAAUGAGGAGCAGAGAACAUCUUUAGGUCUCAGACAACCUCACUCCAGCAUCCUGACUCUGUAUCUACUUUCUAUUGUAUACUGUUAAACCAAAUCAGGACAAAGUUUCUGUUUAGUAAAACUUCAGAUGUUUCUGGCAGAUAGACUGCUGUCGUGUCCUUGUUCAGAAUAACACACUCCACCUUCCUGCCAGGGUAAAGGCAAAAUGAACACCUACUGGCUGGUGGGCCACAAGAACUACAGCGUGCAGAACGACAGCCUGGUGUGUCACUGGAACCCCAACAUGGCUCGGAAGAAGAAGCCGGCGGCGGGCAGCCUGGUCUCUGUGGGCAAUUCCUCCGUGACCGUGCAGAGCCUUGGUGACAACAGCGCCACCCCACUGUCACUUUCCUCCUCUGCACUGACCCCGACUCCGCGGAUGGACAGGCCGGGUCUCAGCGUUGCGGCUCAGAUGGAGACGUAUGGCGGCAGUUACGGCACGCUGGGCUCCAUGACCGGGGGGCUGCAGGGUGGGGAUGAAAGUCCUCUUCCGGCCCAACGUGGAGGCGGACUCAAACCUGACCUGCUGCCUGGUUCCAACCAGCUGAUGUGAGCAGCAGGAGAGCCUGGAGGUCGAUCGAGGAUCAACACUUCACCUGCUGUAGAUCUGACUUGUUAAUAAAACUGAUUGUUUUAAGUAGUACCUGCAUAGCUGUAGUUUAAGGUUUUUGCUUUUGUGAGUGGAUGGACUGAAGAAACCUCAGACUGACUUGUUGAAGUUCAUCUGCAUACAUUUCAGUAAUGUCACUGAAGAACUGCGCAGUAACAAGUCAGGUAGAUCUGUGGAGGACUCGGAGGACCAGAACCAGCAGUCCUGGUCUGAAGCUGUGAAAGUUUAAUCCCACGGAUCAAACAUCAUCAUCUGGAUCUCCCAGCAAAGAGUGAGGAGUGUUCACAUGAAGACUGACGUUCUGAAGCAGCAGAUCUGAGGGCAAGUUUUUAAGAUGUUUGGAGCCAACAAGUCCAGGAAGUAGACGUCCUUCUAGAUCAAAGAUAACUAAAGUCAUUAUAGAGUUUCAGUAUUUAGAGUCAACAGAACAACAGAGAACGGGAAUGAGGUGAAGAGACGUCUGCAAGCAGGUUGGAACAGGUGGAGGAAGGUUUCAGGUGUGACGAGUGACUAAAGGAGUCAUCAAGAAUGAAAGGAAAGGUGGAGUAGACUGGAGUGAGAGAAGCCAUGUUAGACUCUGGUUCAGAGAUGGAGGCAGCAGAGAUGAAGAUCCUGAGGUUCUCCAUAGCAGAGACCAGGAUGGAAUAGUGACGAUGUCGGGGAAAGCGUUCUGAGCUACCAGGAAAAAGGUCUAAGAUCAGAGAGGAGGUUCAUGGAUGUGGAGAUGAGGACACGAGGAUGAGGUGUGAGUCAGGAGGAAGCAGAGGAGAGGGUUCCAUAAAGGGUGACCACGAGAAGAAUCACCCGAAAGACGACAAAAAGCAGGUGAUGUCACAUUUACUUGCUCCAGUUCUAAUAUACAGCCAAAGGUGACACCAGCUUCAGGUUUAUGUCUUCACGUUCUGUGUUUCAGGCCAUGGUUUCUGAGGCUUGUUCUAAUCCCAAUUCUCUCUUCAAACUUUCAUUUUUUUUUUGUUAAAAGAUUGUUUCAGUUUUCUGUAUUACAUGAUUUUUUUUUCUGCCAGCACAUUCAGUCUCCUGGAUUUGAGAACACUGAGAGCCACAUUUCACUGAGCUUUAGAUAGUAAAAGUGUAAAUGGCGUAUACUCGUAGAGCGGGUUCACUGGUGGUCUGUUCUCAGGUCAUCUCCAGGUCUUCUGAGCCUUGUAAAGCACUUUUUUAUACAUUUAGAUCACAAAUACAACAUAAAGUUACAACAGCUUUUGUACUUCAUCACAAUGCAGUAAUGGUGUAAAGUAACUGUAGAUAUUCAUCCUGAGUAUUAACUUAACUGAUCACUCAUUAAUCAAGCAGCAAACCAAUGAAAAGCAGGCAAUUUAUUACAUAAAGUACAACAUAUUUUGUGAAAUAUAUCCACACAAAAAGAAGUCCGGUAAUAAUUCUUCACUUGUGUUUAUGAAAAAGAGAGUAGAGAUUAGCGAUGGGCGGUUCAAAUCCCAGCUGGGUCUUUUCUGUGUGAAGUUUUCUUCUGCGUGUCUGAGUAUUCUCUGGUGUCUCUGGGGUAAAAAUCUGCAGAAAUGUAAUGUCAACACUGUCAAAAGCCCAUGAAUAAAAUCAGUGUGAAUAUUGA